rnacentral:lncRNA from 1 species
UGUGUUGCACUGAGAAAUGUACAAUGUCCAAAGAAGAGUAGCACGAGUUGAAGAAGGUAAAUAUAUAUGUCUUCCAACUAACAAACAGACACAUUUCUAUUUUAACAGAUGACACAUCUGCUGAAAAUUAUCAAAUAGAUAUAUACAUCUGUUGCAACAGUUGACUAACUUAUUGCACCAGAUAAAGUACCUAUUGCGACAUAUGUCUCAUCUAUUUUAGCAAAUCAAACAACUCUUUGUACCUCUUUUAUUUGUACUAACAGAUGACCUAUCUGCUGUAACAGAUGAGUCAUAUGUUGCAACAGAUGGUUCAUCCAUUGGAAAUUAUCAUACAGGUCUUUCUCAUGUAGAAAUUUGACCCAACAGUUUAUUCAUUAUUGCAACAGAAAUAUAAUCUAUUUGGGAUAAUCUAAAACAGAAGGAAGCCCAAUUUUAUUUGCUAGAACAAAUGAGUUAUCCUUUUUCAUUUUGUUGUAUCUCCGUGAUUAGCAUUGACCAAUUCUGGCUUUCCAGGUGGAUGUAGAAGCUACUGCUGAACAUUAUUGAUAAUAUGCUACUCUACUCCUUUUAUGGAAAUAAGAAGAAUAGAAAGCGUAGAAAUCAUACGUAAGCGACAAUAAAGAUCCACGACGAGCAAAGCCAAAUUCCAUAGCAUCAGAUGAAGAACAACAUGUCCAUAUUGAGUAGAUCUUUAUAGCUUGAGUCUGUCAAAGUAAUAACCUCA